GGAUCACCCAAAGAAAGGUACAUUACACAGGGUUAUUUUAGCAGAAUCCUGUUAAUAUGGGUACUUUCCUUUCUAUCUCCGUCACAAAGAUUAUUGUUAAUUACUCAUGUUGUUCCGUUCUUCUAGAUUAUAAAAGGAUUUUCAUAGCCAAAGGUGAUUAACACAAUUAGUUUGAGGCAUUGGUAUGAUGCUGUAUAUAUUUCUCACUUGAUAAAGAC